CAGCUUGCUGCUUUGCUGACGAGUGGCGGACAGGUGAGUAAUGUCUGGGAAACUGCCUGAUGGAGGGGGAUAACUACUGGAAACGGUAGCUAAUACCGCAUAACGUCGCAAGACCAAAGAGGGGGACCUUCGGGCCUCUUGCCAUCGGAUGUGCCCAGAUGGGAUUAGCUAGUAAGUGGGGUAACGGCUCACCUAGGCGACGAUCCCUAGCUGGUCUGAGAGGAUGACCAGCCACACUGGAACUGAGACACGGUCCAGACUCCUACGGGAGGCAGCAGUGGGGAAUAUUGCACAAUGGGCGCAAGCCUGAUGCAGCCAUGCCGCGUGUAUGAAGAAGGCCUUCGGGUUGUAAAGUACUUUCAGCGGGGAGGAAGGCGAUAAGGUUAAUAACCUUGUCGAUUGACGUUACCCGCAGAAGAAGCACCGGCUAACUACGUGCCAGCAGCCGCGGUAAUACGUAGGUGGCAAGCGUUGUCCGGAUUUACUGGGUGUAAAGGGCGUGCAGCCGGGUCUGCAAGUCAGAUGUGAAAUCCAUGGGCUCAACCCAUGAACUGCAUU
rnacentral:rRNA from 1 species